rnacentral:rRNA from 1 species
GGAUCAGUAAGCCGGUCGUACCUUCGGUAUGUACUGGUGUCACUGAUUCCUCCCUUCUGAUGAACCGUUAUACCAUUUAGUUGGUGUGGCGGGGAGUCAGGACUGUUACUUUGAAAAAAUUAGAGUGUUUAAAGCAAGCUCGCGCUUGAAUACAUUAGCAUGGAAUAAUAAAAUAGGACGUUUGAUCUCCUAUUUUGUUGGUUUCUAGGAUCGACGUA